AGUUGUUGCUGGCCUCUAGGGGCAUGUGCACGCUUCACUAGUCUUUCAACCACCUGUGAACUUUUGAUAGAUCUGUGAAGUCGUCCUUCAAGUCGUCAGACUUGGUUUGCUGGGAUUUAAACGUCUCGGUGUGACAACGCAGUCUAUUUACUUAACACACCCCAAAUGUAUGUCUACGAAUGUCAUUUAAUGGGCCUUGUGCCUAUAAACCAUAAUACAACUUUCAACAACGGAUCUCUUGGCUCUCGCAUCGAUGAAGAACGCAGCGAAAUGCGAUAAGUAAUGUGAAUUGCAGAAUUCAGUGAAUCAUCGAAUCUUUGAACGCACCUUGCGCCCCUUGGUAUUCCGAGGGGCAUGCCUGUUUGAGUGUCAUUAAAUUCUCAAACUCACAUUUAUUUGUGAUGUUUGGAUUGUUGGGGGUUGCUGGCUGUAACAAGUCGGCUCCUCUUAAAUGCAUUAGCAGGACUUCUCAUUGCCUCUGCGCAUGAUGUGAUAAUUAUCACUCAUCAAUAGCACGCAUGAAUAGAGUCCAGCUCUCUAAUCGUCCGCAAGGACAAUUUGACAAUUUGACCUCAAAUCAGGUAGGACUACCCGCUGAACUUAAGCAUAUC
rnacentral:rRNA from 1 species